rnacentral:rRNA from 1 species
AGCAGCCGCGGUAAUUCCAGCUCCAAUAGCGUAUAUUAAAGUUGUUGCAGUUAAAAAGCUCGUAGUUGAAUUUCGGGAUUAGUACGCUGGUCAUGCCUUUGGUAUGUACUGGUGUUACUGAUUUCUACCUUCUGAAGAACCGUUAUGUCAUUCAUUUGGUGUGGCGGGGAAUCAGGACUGUUACUUUGAAAAAUUAGAGUGUUUAAAGCAGGCUCGCGCUUGAAUACAUUAGCAUGGAAUAAUGAAAUAGGACGUUGAUCCUAUUUUGUUGGUUUCUAGGAUUGACGUAAUGAUUAAUAGGGAUAGUUGGGGGCAUUAGUAUUCAAUUGUCAGAGGUGAAAUUCUUGGAUUUAUUGAAGACUAACUACUGCGAAAGCAUUUGCCAAGGAUGUUUUCAUUAAUCAAGAACGAAAGUUAGGGGAUCGAAGACGAUCAGAUACCGUCGUAGUCUUAACCAUAAACUAAUGCCGACUAGGGAUCGGAUGAUGUUAAUUUUAAUGUACUC